GCUUUACUGUAGCCUGGUAUUGGGUUCGGCUUUGUCUUGCGCAGGAUAGGUGGGAGGCUGUGAGAUUGCCCUUGUGGGGCAAUUAGAGCCAAUCAGUGAGAUACCACUCUGAACAAAGCUAGAAUUCUAACCUGCGUUCCUUGAUCCGGACGAUGAACAGUUAUUCAGGUGGGCAGUUUGUCUGGGGCGGACGCCUCCAUAAAAGCGUAACUGAGGCGCGCAAAGGUUCUCUCAGUCUGGAUGGAAAUCAGCCAUUGAGUGUAAAGGCAGCAAGGGAGCUUGAUUGCAAGACCAACAAGUCGAGCAGGGGCGAAAGCCGGCCUUAGUGAUCCGACGGUGCCGAGUGGAAGGGCCGUCGCUCAACGGAUAAAAGUUA
rnacentral:rRNA from 1 species